rnacentral:rRNA from 1 species
AUUGAACGCUGGCGGCAUGCCUUACACAUGCAAGUCGAACGGCAGCACGGGAGCAAUCCUGGUGGCGAGUGGCGAACGGGUGAGUAAUAUAUCGGAACGUGCCCAGUCGUGGGGGAUAACGUAGCGAAAGCUACGCUAAUACCGCAUACGAUCUAUGGAUGAAAGCGGGGGAUCGCAAGACCUCGCGCGAUUGGAGCGGCCGAUAUCAGAUUAGGUAGUUGGUGAGGUAAAGGCUCACCAAGCCGACGAUCUGUAGCUGGUCUGAGAGGACGACCAGCCACACUGGGACUGAGACACGGCCCAGACUCCUACGGGAGGCAGCAGUGGGGAAUUUUGGACAAUGGGCGCAAGCCUGAUCCAGCAAUGCCGCGUGCAGGAUGAAGG